AUACGGAGGGGGCUAGCGUUGUUCGGAAUUACUGGGCGUAAAGCGUACGUAGGCGGACUGAUCAGUUGGGGGUGAAAUCCCAGGGCUUAACCCUGGAACUGCCUUCAAUACUGUCAGUCUUGAGUCCGGAAGAGGUGAGUGGAAUUCCUGGUGUAGAGGUGAAAUUCAUAGAUAUCAGGAGGAAAACCAGUGGCGAAGGCGGCUCACUGGUCCGGUACUGACGCUGAGGUACGAAAGCGUGGGGAGCAAACAGGAUUAGAAACCCCAGUAGUCC
rnacentral:rRNA from 1 species